GGGAGCUUUUGACAGCACUUCAGUCCACCUGCCUCCUGGGUGAUCUGCUCCAGUGCCUGAGCAAGCUUCAUUCAGCUCCUGCUGAGAUGUCCUGCCAGCAAAGCCAGCAGCAGUGCCAGCCCCCUCCCAAGUGUUCCCCAAAAUGUUCACCCAAGUGUACUCCUAAGUGUCCCCCAAAAUGCCCCCCGAAGUGCCCUGCCCCCUGCCCACCUCCAGUCUCCUGCUGUGGCCCCAGCUCUGGGGGCUGCUGCAGCUCUGGGGGUGGCGGUUGCUGCCUGAGCCACCACAGACGUCGAAGAUCUUUUCGACGCCACCACCGGAACUCUGACUGCUGUGGCAGUGGCACUGGUCAGAAUUCUGGGGGCUCUGGCUGUUGCUCUGGGGGCUGUUGCUGACCUAGGCCACGAGGAGCACUGAGGAGCAUCACUGGAGAGCCAAAGUGCCGAUGACCUGCCCAGUCUGAGACUUUCUCUUCUCCCAUUUCCCACGGAAAGUCUUCCGAGCUGCUCUGAAGUUUCUUCUUCUUCCUGCCCAAGUUCAUCACACUGUGAGGUCUAGAAGUCCAACCUCUGAUAGUCACUGGCCUGAUUCUCUUCUCAGACUUGGUUCUUUGGAGGACUUGGGUUGGAGUUCAGUCAUGCAGCUGUUUUCUCUGUAACAACAAAGCUUUUUCUUCCUGA